rnacentral:misc_RNA from 1 species
AUCAGGGUCAGUGUCUAGG